AUCUUCAAAAGCAGCUGAUUCAGGAACUGAUUCAGAAACUGAUGCACCGUGUCACGAACAGAGAGCUGCAGCCCCGGUCCAUUUCCGUGGAAGGGAGCGCCCUCUUAAUAGCCGCGUCUAACUCUCUAGUGGCCAAUCACUUGAAGAGCUGUGGCUAUGAGUGUUCACGUUCGGUUUUCUUUUCGGAAACUGGAUUGGCCGCCGAAAAGGUAUUUACUAUGCAAGAUCUAUUAGAACUCCUCAAAAUCAACCCUGAAUCCAGUCUCUACAAAUCACUGAUGUCGGGAUUUCACAACGAAAACAAAAAAGGU